GGCUUAUUAGCUUAGUUGUUUAAAGUGUUGAGCUAAUAAUACAAAUGUCACAGGUUUGAGACCUUCAUGAGCCA
rnacentral:tRNA from 1 species